AGUGAACGCUGGCGGUAUGCCUAACACAUGCAAGUCGAACGAGUGGCGCACGUGUGAGGCAUACAUCGGAAUCUCCUCUGUCGUUGGGGAUAAUUUGGGGAAACUUACGCUAAUCCCGCAUACCUUUGACUGAUACGUUGUCGGAUUCUCCAGUUGGCGGUGUAAAGGCUCACCAGGGCGACGAUCCGUAGUUGGUCUGAGAGGGUGAUCGGCCACACUGGAACUGAGACACGGUCCAGACUCCUACGGGAGGCAGCAGUGGGGAAUAUUGGACAAUGGGCGAAAGCCUGAUCCAGCCAUGCCGCGUGAGUGAAGAAGGCCUUCGGAUUGUAAAGCCCUUUUGUUGGGGAAGCGGUACCCAAACAAUAAGCAACGGCUAACUUCGUGCCAGCAGCCGCGGUAAUAC
rnacentral:rRNA from 1 species